GCAUUCUUAGCUCAGUUGGAUAGAGCAACAACCUUCGAAGUUGAUGGUCACAGGUUCAAAUCCUGUAGAAUGCG
rnacentral:tRNA from 1 species